ensembl:snRNA U6 U6 spliceosomal RNA
GUGCUAGCUUAGGCAGCACAUAUACUAAAAUUGGAACGAUACUGAGAAGAUUAGCAUGGCCCAUGCACAAAAAUCAAACAGACAAAUAAAUAAAUAAUCUUUCUUCUU